rnacentral:rRNA from 1 species
AUUGAACGCUGGCGGCAGGCCUAACACAUGUAAGUCGAACGAGUGGCGGACGGGUGAGUAAUGUCUGGGAAACUGCCUGAUGGAGGGGGAUAACUACUGGAAACGGUAGCUAAUACCGCAUACCAUCGGAUGUGCCCAGAUGGGAUUAGCUAGUAGGUGGGGUAACGGCUCACCUAGGCGACGAUCCCUAGCUGGUCUGAGAGGAUGACCCGCCAAACUGGAACUGGGAAACGGGCCAGACUCCUACGGGAGGCAGCAGUGGGGAAUAUUGGACAAAGGGCGCAAGGCUGAUGGAGCCAUGCCGCGGGGAUGAAGAAGGCCUUCGGGUUGGAAAGUACUUUUCGCGGGGAGGCGGUACCCGCAGAAGAAGCAACGGCUAACUCCGUGCCAGCAGCCGCGGUAAUAA